CACAGAAUGGGUACAGGAGGCUAGGAGUUCGAUUUUAACUAUAAAGCUCUCACUCCGGAGGGUAAACCCUUUGAAGGGAUUAGGGCAUAGGGAUGAGCCCUUCCGAAUGGAACGCAGGGUUAGUGCCCCUGCUGGAACUGAAGUGAAAUCACCUCCCAGAAUGUGUAAAGUCACCACGACAACCCUGUGACAGACAGGUGUCACUCACAUGAUGUCCCAGUCCAGCUCCACCUGCUCCACCUCCUCCAUCAGCCGCACCAUACGGCGUUUAAAGUUGGCUUGGAAACGCACGUCAUCCUCAAAAA